CAAUGCAGAGAUGCAGGGCCCCAGGGUGUUUCUGGGGCAGGCCCAGCCCUUGUGCUGUCUCAGAGUCAGGUGCAGUCUCACUGCCAAGUCC